CACGCCGUAAACGAUGUCUGCUAGCCGUUGGGAUCCUUGAGGUUUCGGUGGCGCAGCUAACGCGAUAAGCAGACCGCCUGGGGAGUACGGCCGCAAGGUUAAAACUCAAAUGAAUUGACGGGGGCCCGCACAAGCGGUGGAGCAUGUGGUUUAAUUCGAUGCAACGCGAAGAACCUUACCAGGUCUUGACAUCCAGAGAACUUUCCAGAGAUGGAUUGGUGCCUUCGGGAACUCUGAGACAGGUGC
rnacentral:rRNA from 2 species